rnacentral:rRNA from 1 species
UACGUAGGCAGCAAGCGUCGUUCGGAGUUACUGGGCGUAAAGGGUGUGUAGGCGGUUUUUUAAGUUUGGUGUGAAAUCUCCCGGCUCAACUGGGAGGGUGCGCCGAAUACUGAAAGACUAGAGUGCGGGAGAGGAAAGUGGAAUUCCUGGUGUAGCGGUGAAAUGCGUAGAUAUCAGGAGGAACACCGGUGGUGUAGACGGCUUUCUGGACCGUAACUGACGCUGAUGCACGAAAGCUAGGGGAGCAAACAGG